UACGGAGGAGGCAAGCGUUAUCCGGAAUUAUUGGGCGUAAAGCGUCCGCAGGUGGCACCUCAAGUCUGCUGUCAAAGACCGGGGCUUAACCCCAGAAAGGCAGUGGAAACUGAAGUGCUAGAGUGCAGUAGGGGUAGAGGGAAUUCCCGGUGUAGCGGUGAGAUGCGUAGAGAUCGGGAAGAACAUCGGUGGCGAAAGCGCUCUGCUGGACUGCAACUGACACUCAGGGACGAAAGCUAGGGGAGCGAAUGGG
rnacentral:rRNA from 1 species